GGACCCGCACAAGUAGUGGAGCAUGUGGUUUAAUUCGAAGAUACGCGCAGAACCUUACCAACACUUGACAUGUUCGUCGCGACUCUAAGAGAUUAGAGUUUUCGGUUCGGCCGGACGAAACACAGGUGCUGCAUGGCUGUCGUCAGCUCGUGUCGUGAGAUGUUGGGUUAAGUCCCGCAACGAGCGCAACCCUCACUUUUAGUUGCCAUCAUUAAGUUGGGCACUCUGAAAGAACUGCCAGUGAUAAGCUGGAGGAAGGUGGGGAUGACGUCAAGUCCUCAUGGCCCUUACGUGUUGGGCUACACACGUGCUACAAUGGCAUCUACAACAGGAAGCAAAACGGCGACGUUUAGCAAAUCCUUAAAAGAUACCUCAGUUCGGAUUGCACUCUGCAACUCGAGUGCAUG
rnacentral:rRNA from 1 species